UAANACUCUCGGCAACGGAUAUCUCGGCUCUCGCAUCGAUGAANAACGUANCGAAAUGCGAUACUUGGUGUGAAUUGCAGAAUCCCGUGAACCAUCGAGUCUUUGAACGCAAGUUGCGCCCGAAGCCAUUANGCCGAGGGCACAUCUGCC
rnacentral:rRNA from 1 species